UCUUAAUGAUGAAUAACCAAUAGAUGCCGAGUCCGAGAAAAUCCUUUCAUUAAUCAUGGGGACAAAUACGAGGCAUUUGUCUGAGAGGA
rfam:Arabis alpina cultivar Pajares Aa.chr8_contig_6210, whole genome shotgun sequence.